UUUAAAGGGCUUUCAUACCGACAUCUAUGACCAGAUUGCAAUGUUGAGACCUAGUUUGUAUGCAGAGGUGCUAGAACAUGCCCAGUUGACUGAAGACCUCAUCUCAGCCAAGAACUAAUGCAUUACCCUAGUCUGUACACAACAACAAUAAACCCAACACCUUAGAUGGAGAUUGCCUGACCCAGUAAGCAACCACCUCAAUAAACGAACCACAGUUGCCCUUCCCCCUAGUUUGCCUCAACCUAUGAGUCAGCUUGCCCGAUCUACCCGACCCUGUCAGCAUUGUGGUCACUCGCAUGAUGACCUAUCCUGUCUGCGUAUCAAUCACGCCUACUAUCGGUGCAAAAGCACCCAACAUCUUAUAAAAGACUACCUCC
rnacentral:lncRNA from 1 species